GGUCAGCUCUAAAUGGGUGGGACUUCAGCUCCAAGUGGGCUGUACAAGCCUCCAGAGCCUUUUGAUUGGUUUAUUUAAUGUCAUGGGGUUAAUGCACGCUGCGAACCCCACCCCCCCAUCCCACCAAAAAAAAGAUUAAAAAAAAUAAAAAGACGACGUCAACUUCCCAAGGCUUUUCAGCGUCAAGAAAGAGGAGUUUGAAGGGGAUUUACGCUGCAGAUUACGGACACUGAAGACCAUAAGCAGAAAGUUCAAGUCUGGGUGGCCAAAAGUUAAAUUUCAGUGAUCUGGUUACCGCCUCUCUCUGCAAACCCAAAGGAUCACUUUCCUGUAAACUUUUUUUUUGUUCUUUCUAUGCAUCAAGAUGUGUAAUUUAUUUUUUCUGAAGAUUUUUGACUAAUGUGUGUGUGUGUGUGUGUGUGUAUGUGGGUACUUGUGUGGAUAAAUUAUGUUCAUACUUUAAAGGUGGACAUUUGCAACAGCGCUUGUCCCUAAAAUUGCUCCAGGGGUAUGGUCAGAGACUAUCCUAAAUGACAAAUGAUGGAAUGUAAAUGACAUUACAUUCUGUAGACAUCUCACAUAAAUGUGCAUUGUACUUUAGUUAAUAUUAACUUGUCAACAGUGAAUUAUUUUAGGAUGUCAUUGGACUGAAUGUUUAGUGACUAAUGACACUUCAUUCCAGUAAAAAUAUAAUCCAUAGCCUUGGAGUGAAAGCAGCAGCAAAGUGUUCCAAUGCUGAUAAAAAUCAAGCUGGUUAAAACCUCAGGUUCCUUAAAUAUCUGUUCUACAGGACUGUUUGGGGUUGGACAGAUUUUGUAAUGGUUUUGAAGUCUGAUGCUCACCAGACCUUCAUUUAUUUGUUCAGAAAUGCAGUAGAAACAGUCAUAUUGUAAAUUGUAAUAAUAUUUUACAAUAACUCUUUUCUAUUUGAGGCAGCAACCGAUCUACCCCAAUCAUCAUUAACGGAACGGGACCCCAGUGGAGAGAGUGAGCAGCUUCAAUACCUUCAAAUGCCCUGCAAAGAGUAGCUGAGCACAUCUCCAGAACAUCUAUCCCCUCUCUGCAAGACAUCCACACCAGAAGAUGUAAAUCUAGGGCUGUUAAGAUCCUUAAAGACCCCACCCACCCUGGAAAUCCACUGUGUCAUCUGCUACAGUCAGGCAGACGCUUCUGCAGUCUGAUGGCAAAGAAGGAGAGGCUCAGGAGAAGUUUCUUCCCUCAUGUUAUCAGACUACUAAACAUGGACAUUAACACACUGCACUUUAUAGACUGUUUGUUUAGGGUUACAUAAUAACUCUCUGCACACUGCGCUUUUUUUUGACAACCUAACUAUGCAACUCAUCCUCACUGCACAUUGUUUACAUCUCUGCACAUCUUCUGUGUAGCAGUUUCUGUGUAGCAUCUCUACAAAUCAUCUGUAUAGUAGUUUAAUACAGUAUAUUGUGUAUAUUUCAUUAUUUGUAUUUAAUUUUUUUUUUUUUUGCACAGUCUAAAAAGAGUAUGGCAGACCUACAUUUCACUGCUUUUUGCAUGUCAUAUAACAAAUAAAACUUGAGUUUUUAAUAGUGUGGAGCAUUACCUGUGAUUUGAGUUGGUGAUAAAAGGAGAUGGGGGAAAAGGGUGUCUUAAAUUGGACUUUGGUACCAAUAAUAUUUUCCUCUUAAGUCUUGGAAUGUUUUUUUAUUAUUAUUAAUUCUUGUAUAACUAUUUAGAUUUUUUUUUCUUUUUUUAAAUUAAAUGUUUAUUUGCAA